rnacentral:rRNA from 1 species
GACGAACGCUGGCGGCGUGCUUAACACAUGCAAGUCGAGCGGUAAGGCCCUUUCGGGGGCACACGAGCGGCGAACGGGUGAGUAACACGUGGGUGACCUGCCCUCAGCUCUGGGAUAAGCCUGGGAAACCGGGUCUAAUACCGGAUAUGACUCCAUGACGCAUGUUGUGGGGUGGAAAGCCUUGUGCGGCUGAGGAUGGGCCCGCGGCCUAUCAGCUUGUUGGUGGGGNGAUGGCCUACCAAGGCGACGACGGGUAGCCGGCCUGAGAGGGCGACCGGCCACACUGGGACUGAGACACGGCCCAGACUCCUACGGGAGGCAGCAGUGGGGAAUCUUGCGCAAUGGGCGAAAGCCUGACGCAGCGACGCCGCGUGAGGGAUGACGGCCUGGUGUAAC